rnacentral:rRNA from 1 species
AGACCAGUUUACCCGGAAAUUCUGGGCGUAAAGCGCACGCAGGCGGUUUGUUAGUCAGAUGUGACAUCCCUGGGCUCAACCUGGGAACUGCAUCUGAUACUGGCAAGCUUGAGUCUCGUAGAGGGGGGUAGAAUUCCAGGUGUAGCGGUGAAAUGCGUAGAGAUCUGGAGGAAUACCGGUGGCGAAGGCGGCCCCCUGGACGAAGACUGACGCUCAGGUGCGAAAGCGUGGGGAGCAAACAGGAUUAGAUACCCUGGUAGUCCACGCCGUAAACGAUGUCGACUUGGAGGUUGUGCCCUUGAGGCGUGGCUUCCGGAGCUAACGCGUUAAGUCGACCGCCUGGGGAGUACGGCCGCAAGGUUAAAACUCAAAUGAAUUGACGGGGGCCCGCACAAGCGGUGGAGCAUGUGGUUUAAUUCGAUGCAACGCGAAGAACCUUACCUGGUCUUGACAUCCACGGAAGUUUUCAGAGAUGAGAAUGUGCCUUCGGGAACCGUGAGACAGGUGCUGCAUGGCUGUCGUCAGCUCGUG